UACGAAGGGGGCUAGCGUUUGUUUCGGAAUUACUGGGCGUAAAGCGCGUGUAGGCUGCUCUGCAAGUCGGAUGUGAAAGCCCUGGGCUCAACCUAGGAAGUGCAUUCGAAACUGCAGAGCUGGAGUCCUGGAGAGGAAGGCGGAAUUUUCGGUGUAGAGGUGAAAUUCGUAGAUAUCGAGAGGAACAUCGGUGGCGAAGGCGGCCUUCUGGGACAGCGACUGACGCUGAGACGCGAAAGCGUGGGGAGCAAACAGG
rnacentral:rRNA from 1 species